GCACAUCCUGCAUCAACUCGUGACCACCAGAGCUUCUUGGACACGAUGCUGCCCUUGUACCCCUGCUGGUUCCUGUUUGGGUUUCCUACCUACCCCUUCAGCUGAGUUUCUUCCUAUUCUUUCAGCCCUUCCUCCCUGACUGUUCCACCUGCCUGCAGUCUGAUUGCAGCAAUGAGAAUCAGCUGCCAUAAUUGGCUCACCACCAGUCACCUGUUUGCAAUUCCACCUCCCAGCAUAUAAGCCAGCUCUGUCAUUCACUCCCUGCUCCACCAUGGAUGCGCACAUCCUGCAUCAACUCGUGACCACCAGAGCUUCUUGGACACGAUGCUGCCCUUGUACCCCUGCCGGUUCCUGUUUGGGUUUCCUACCUACCCCUUCAGCUGAGUUUCUUCCUAUUCCCUUCCUCCCUGACUGUUCCACCUGCCUGCAGUCUGAUUGCAGCAAUGAGAAUCAGCUGCCAUAAUUGGCUCACACCAGUCACCUGUUUGCAAUUCCACCUCCCAGCAUAUAAGCCAG
ensembl:lncRNA